GACGAACGCUGGCGGCGUGCUUAACACAUGCAAGUCGAACGGAAAGGCCUCUUUCGGGGGGUACCCGGGGGGCGAACGGGCGCAUAACAGGGGAGUACCUUUCCAUCGACUUUGGGAUAACUUGAGAACCCUGGGGAAAUCACCGGAAAGGCGCUCGUCAUCCUUUGCGGGGGUUGGACGACUUCGGAGGAUGGGGUUGGACUGGCGUCUUAUCGGCUUGUUGGAGCGUGAGUGGCUUACCAAGGCGUUGACGGGUAGCGGGCCUGAGAGGGUGACCGGCCACAUUGGGACUGAGACACAGGCCGGACUCCUACGGGAGGCAGCAGUGGGGAAUAUUGCACUAUGGGUGGACGCCUGAUGCAACGACGCCGUGUGCGUGAGGACGAACUUCGUGUUGUAAACGGCUUUCGCUCAUGACGAAGCUUUGUGUGACGGUAGUGGGUAAAGAAGCACCGGCUAACUACGUG
rnacentral:rRNA from 1 species